UACGGAGGGGGCUAGCGUUGUUCGGAAUUACUGGGCGUAAAGCGCACGUAGGCGGACUGUUCCGUCGGGGGUGAAAUCCUGGGGCUCAACCUCAGAAUUGCCUCCGAUACUGGCAGUCUCGAGUGCGGGAGAGGUGAGUGGAAUUCCCAGUGUAGAGGUGAAAUUCGUAGAUAUGGGGAAGAACACCAGUGGCGAAGGCGGCGCACUGGCCCGUAACUGACGCUGAGGUGCGAAAGCGUGGGGAGCAAACAGG
rnacentral:rRNA from 1 species